CAAAAACAUAGCCAGUAGGAGACACUACUUGUCAUUUCUGCUCCAUGUGUUAUAAAUAGCCGCAGUACCCUGACUGUGCAAAGGUAGCAUAAUCAUUUGGCUUCUAAUUAAAGUCUAGUAUGAAUGAAUACAUGGGGGRAAACUCUAUUUUUGGUAUAUGGAACUUACUUAUUGGGUGAAAAUUCCCAAAUUUAAAUAAAAGACGAGAAGACCCUUGAAAUUUUAACAACUGACUUCAAACGUUUUUGUUGGGGCAACAUCGUAGCAUUUAACCUACAGUAAUGACGCGACACAGUGUAGCAAGAUCAAAUUACUCUAGGGAUAACAGCGUAAUUCUUGAGAGUUUGCGACCUCGAUGUUGGACUAGGAAGCAAAUGCUUAAAAGGCAAAUCGCUAUGCUCUGUUCGAGCA
rnacentral:rRNA from 1 species